rnacentral:rRNA from 1 species
UACGGAGGGUGCGAGCGUUAAUCGGAAUUACUGGGCGUAAAGCGCACGCAGGCGGUUUGUUAAGCUAGAUGUGAAAGCCCCGGGCUCAACCUGGGAUGGUCAUUUAGAACUGGCAGACUAGAGUCUUGGAGAGGGGAGUGGAAUUCCAGGUGUAACGGUGGAAUGCGUAGAUAUCUGGAGGAACAUCAGUGGCGAAGGCGACUCCCUGGCCAAAGACUGACGCUCAUGUGCGAAAGUGUGGGUAGCGAACAGG